AUUGGAGAAUUGGAUUGGAGUUGGUAGCAAUUAGAGCACUGGCCAUGUGUGAAGAUCUAUCAAAACUCAUUCAGUAGCUGAUAAAUAUGAGGAGAUACAACACUGCACAAACUCCAAAGGUGCCAGAAUGGAAGGAAAAGAAGAGGAGAAACAUCAUCACUGAAUUUGACAGAGCAGACUCACGUCUUUUGGAAAUCCCACAUGCUGUACUCUGGCCAGUUGAUGUAGCACACGACACGUCCUGGCAGCUGUGCAGUGCUGGAAAAAUAGUACUGG